rnacentral:rRNA from 1 species
UACAGAGGUCCCGAGCGUUGUUCGGAUUCACUGGGCGUAAAGGGUGCGUAGGUGGCGAGGUAAGUCGGAUGUGAAAUCUCCAAGCUUAACUUGGAAAUGGCAUUGGAAACUACCUGGCUAGAGGUUUGGAGGGGGGACUGGAAUUCUCGGUGUAGCGGUGAAAUGCGUAGAUAUCGAGAGGAACACCUGCGGCGAAGGCGGGUUGCUGGGCUGACACUGACGCUGAGGCGCGAAAGCUAGGGGAGCGAACGGG